GUAGGUGAACCUGUGGAAGGAUCAUUACAGUAUUACUAUGGUACGGCAAGGGGGGGUUUUAGAUGCUGGCCCUUUGCGGGGCACGUGCGCGCCCCCUUCUUGUUUUAUCCCCACAUACACCUGUGCACCUAAUGGCGAGCGCCUCCCGUCUGGAGCCGUCUUGGGGCCUCUGUGCCCAGGGGCCGAGGCGUUCGCCGCCCAAAUACACGUUGCAGCCAGUCGAACGCAUGUCUUUUUGAUGCCCUAUGGGGUGAAAAAGUAAAGCACAACUUUCAACAACGGAUCUCUUGGCUUUC
rnacentral:misc_RNA from 1 species